GUAGCCUAAAAAGGGAUUUGUGCAAAAGAAGGAAAAGAAGAGAUUGAGAAAGAGGGUGUGAGAAAAAACGUGGCAGAGAGAAUGAUACAAUAACUACCAGCUAAUGUCCACUCUGUCCUUAAGAUUUGAACAGAAUCAUGAUACUUUCUGCAUACUUGGCCAGCUAUUUAUGGUUUUAAUUAUUGCAGAAGUUAAGAAAGUAGACUUUGCAAUUUACCGGUGUCACAACUCCCACAAUACAAUAUGCUACAGUUGUUUUUGCAACUAGAUAUCACACUGGGGAAAAAAUUAAGAACAUCCGUGUUUCAAACACUUCCAGAAGGAAAAAAGAAAUGGUACCUCUCCUCUUGCACAGUGAAAUUCCCUAGCAAGCUUUUUCAUGGUAAUACAGAGUUCCAGUCUCUCUGUCACAUGAGUGGGGAUUAAAGGGCUUAUCUGAAACAUCCACAUUCUCUUAGCAUUUAUAACAGACACGAAGUCCAUCUUAGCAGCUUGAGGGCUUUCUUUCAAAACAUGCUAGAAUCUCAUCUCUUAGUGAAUUCAUAAAUGCUUUUUGACACACAAUGUUUUUUAUCAGCAAAGUCAAAACAAUCUGUCAUUACUUUGUAUGAAAAACAAUGAAAACAAAAUGAAGCCUUUUUGGGGGAAUAUGGUUACUAACUUGUAGAUACGGAACAUAUAAUUUUCUUUUCAGCAACGUAAGGCUGCUUACCAACAUGAGAUUAGACCAUCUGCCCUUGAGUGGAUUCUGACACAUGGUGACCCCAGGAACGACUGCAGUACCAAGAUAGACCAUAGAGAAUGGACUAACAGAAUUGGAACCCCAGGAACCUCCAAGAGUUUUCAUGUGUGGUGACAAAAUUCCAGCAUGCUCUCCUGAAGUCCCAAACAAAUCUCUGACUAGCCUGCUAUGAAUGAAGCUUUACUCCCACAGCAUUAUGAAAGCAAACACAAGCCCAGGGUCAAGUGCUUCUUUUGUUCCAGAAGUUCUUUCCCACGAGUUCAAUCUUGCCAUUAGCAUUGAUUUCCACAGCUUUAAUCUGGGACCGCCUAUCUCAGCUUGUUAAAGAGCGGUUCAGCUAUCAUUUCCUUACAAUAUUAGAUGGAAAAGAUGAAAAGGGAAAAG